AUGCCAUCUGCCUCAGCAUGCCAUGCCACUGAUAUGCUGAGAAAUAUGGAGAUGCUUCAGCUGGAUACUUUGAGUCAGAAUCUUUCACAAGACUGCAGUGAAAGUGCCAGCCAGGACUUAGGUUUCAUCCAAAGGUAUAAUUGGGGAAGUAUCUGCUUCCAAGUUCACAUGACUUUUAGCAGAAUUUUAGUCCCUCAGUGUUGUUGGAUUGGUAACUUCAAUUCCUAAUGUUGAGUGGAGGUCAUCAUUAGUUUCUUGCCAUAUGGACCUCCCCUAAAUGACACCUUUAUCAAAGCCAGUAAGGGAGAGAAUGGACUAGCACAAUGGAUUUCAUUGUGUUGUAUUACCUAAUCACAGAACUAACAUAUUAUUACUAUGGCUAGAAGCAAGACACAGGUUCUGUUCGAACUUGAGGGGUUAGGAGGGAAUAACAUAAGGACAGAAGUUGUGUGUGUGUGUGUGUGUGUGUGUGUGUGUGUGUGUGUUUAUUUUUUUAGAGAUGGAAUCUUACUCUGUCAUCCAGGCUGGAAUGCAGUGGCGCAAUCAUAGCUCACUGCAGCCUUGAACUGCAGGCCUCAAGGUAUGUCCCUGCCUCAGCUUCCUGAGUAGCUGUGACUACAUAUGCCUGCCAGUGUGCCUAGCUUACAUAAGACACAAGUACCAAGAAGUGGGAUGAUCAUUAGGAACAAUUUAAAGUCUGUGUUCCUUCUUGAUAUGACACUCAAAUUCACUACCUAUUCGCCCCCAAAUUUGAUACCCUUGAAUAUGUUUUAUUUUUCAGAAAUCUUCUACUAGUCACCAAGAGUCAAGACAAAAUGUACACAGCCAAAGAUCAUGUGGUUUGACUUUAGCUUGGGGAUUUCCCAUUGGCCAGGCCAAAAUCUCUUUAGAGGUACUCUGUCCUCUUUCUGCCCUAUCAUCUUUCCUUCCACUUCUCCUUUUAUACGGCAGACCUGCACUGUGAACUGCAGCUCUCUCUACUUGUUCCUGCUUCCUUCCAUUCAUCCUUCAAAGACAACUCCCCACCCCCAGAGCCCCAACUUUUAUAUGACUUGACAUAUGUUUCUUGGAAGAGCUGAAUUAAGGCACAGAUAUAAUCCCAAACCGGGUUUCUGAAAAUAAAAGUGACCAAGGGUAUGGAUGGCUCUUGACAAUUCUUGAACCAUACAAACACUGUAAAUAACUUCAAAGAGGAAAAAAAUUCUGUAACUAUCUUUUAUUUCUGUUCCUUUUUAAAUUUCUUCUUGUAGGCCAGGUGUGGCGUCUCAUGCCUGUAAUAUCAGAACUUUGAGAGGCUGAGGUGGGUGAAUCAUGAGGUCAGGAGAUCAAGACCAUUCUGGUCAACAUGGUGAGACCCCAUCUCUACUAAAUUACAAAGAAUUAGCCAGGUGUGGUGUCAUGCACCUGUAGUCCCAGCUACUUGGGAGACUGAGGCAGGGGAAUUGCUUGAGCUCUGUAGGCCGAGAUUGCAGUGAAGCAAUAUUGUGCCACUGCACUCUAGCCAAGGUGACAGAGACUCCCUCUCAGUAAUAAUAAAAACCAUUUCUUCUUGUCAUUUCAUAUGUGUCCAUUUGUUUUGGGGAAAAACAUACCUGCAUGAUCCCUUAAUUAUUUGCCAUCCUUCAUUUGGUGUGUUCUCUUAAAAUUAAGAGAGAGACAGAGAGAGAGGGGGUGAAGCACACGUAUGAGAGAAAAUGCAAAUAACAUACAUCUUUCUUGCUUCUCUUUUUAGGUAUACAAGUUUACAUCAAAAAAUGGUUUGCCAUGAAACAUAACAGUAUUUCUGUAUACAGGUUUUAAUAUCAUAAUUACUUUAAAUAAUUUUUAUGCUAUUUUAUUAAAUUCCAGUUACAUGCAAGGGACAUAAUAAUAAAUAUAUGCAACUGUUUCUGUCAAGGCACCUACAGAAUUUCAAAUUUAUUUCCAUGUCAUUCUUGGAAAAAUAUGUCAUGCCAUUCUAACCAUUUUAUUUUUUGUAAAUGGACAUACCGAGGUGCUAAACAAAUUAUUUAUCAAUUGGCUUCAGGAAUUAACUAAUUCAGAGAAGCCAGGUUGAAAGAUUCUAGGGAAACUUUUUAGAGUAAUUGUUUCUGAGUUUGAAAUCUUUAGAGUUUUAUUCAUCAGAAUUGAGUUCUCUUCUGAACAAACAGGAAUAAUAAUGCAGAUUGAUGUCGUGGAUGAUGAAGUGCCAGAACGGAUACCUUUUUGAAUCUCUAUUUGUGAAAAAUCUGAACAGCUGCCCUCCCACGUGUUUGCGGAUAAGACCCACACACGAUGUGUGCAGGUACAUGCUACCCAGAAACUAAGAAUAUUUCCUAAUGCCUGCCCAUUUUGUUUUUGGCUGAGUUCUCUUUGUCUAAGGUUAUGGAAUUAUUUUUUAUUACUAAGUUUUCAUUAUUUAAUUGCAUCACAAAUAUCUUCUAUCAAUUUGUUGGGUUUUCACUUUGCUUAUGAUACCUGGUCAUGUAGAAAAUCAUGACAAUUUAAUCUACUGUAUUUACUAUAUAUUUCUGUAGAUACACACAUGAUAAGUAUUUGGAAAAGUUUCCGGUUAUCUGUUAUUUUAGUGAAUGUAGGGAAAGGAGACUUGUUGGAAGACUUGGUAAUGUUUUAUUUUAUUACAUUAAAAUCUGAAGCAAAUGGGCAAAAUGUAAUAUUUUAUAAACUUAAAAUGUUAGGAAUACAGUCUAUACGUUGUUUAUCUGAUUACUUUUAGAAUUUAUAAUAUAUUAAGUCUACAGAUAAUACAUAUGUUUACACAUGCACAAACAUAGGUUAGGUGAUGGUAGUUGCCCUCCCACUUCAUCUCUGCAACUGGGACUGUUUCAAUCAGGCAAGAGCAAAGCAGAGACAGCUGGAGGAGAUCAGAAAGAUGUGGGGGAGCACAUUUGUGACUCAGCACUGCCCACUGUAAUCAAUUCAGGGAUCUCAAUUCGGGCUUCCUUAAUUUAUCCUGUCAAAUGUAGUUCUUUCUAAUUAAGGAUACAGCCUGUAAAUAAAGUGACGAUAAAAGAGAAGAGAGACAAGGACUUUCAAAGGGAACUCUUUUAGGAGGACAUUUGAGAAUCCGCAGAGUAAAAUAUAAUGUUUUUUUCUGAGAAUGUGAUGAUACACAUUUUGCAUUCACUGCAAAGAUGCGCAAAUAAAAUCUGGAGGAAAUAAAGGUAAAAUUGGGCUGGAGAUAUUUGUCCUUUUUUGAGGAAAUAUGAUUGACAUAUCUGAAGAGUAAUACCAAGGACCUGAAGUUACACAUAAGGGCAAGCAAAGAGAAGAAGAGUUAGAUUUAAAGAGCAAGAAAACAGAAAUUAUACUGCUAGUUUGACAUAUCAAGGUUGAUCACCAGAUAUGAUGCAAAGGACCAGGCAGCAAAUUGAAAAUAAAUAAACACUGUUCCUUUUGGAAUGAAGCUGACUGAAAAAAAAAGUUUGAUGAACUAAAAUAAACUUUAUGGUAAUAUGCUUGUAUAAUAUAGAACAAAAGACAAAAUAACAUUCCUCCAUUUAAGAACUGUGAGUAACAAGAGUAUAAAUACGGAGAAAGAUAUUUUGUUUAUUAACAUUCACUUUAGUUCACAAUAAGUUCCAUUUGUAAUGGUUAUUUUAUUUUUCCGAUGGCUUUAUACAUCUUGGUGAUAGCAAGGCACUUAUAGCACAGCUUUUGUUGUUAGGCUCCAUAAGGAUAUUUUUUCUCCUAUUUGGUUUUUCAAAUAAAGUUUAAAAAUUUGCCUCCUUCAACCCUUCACUCCAUCUAAUCCAUAUAAAUUUCCUCAAGGCUAAAUAACAUUUGAAGGUGAACAAAAGAAACCCAGCUUGUCAUAACUCAGGAAGGUGAUCAAAAGAAGCCAGGUGCUCCCUUAACCUUUGAUUACUUACACACAGAAAGUACUUUGCUUUGUGUCCUUAGAUUACAUUAGUGAUCAUGACAAUAGAAAGAAAUUUUGGGUAAUAGAAGGAAAUAGAGAUGUCUGGCUUGACUACAUAUUUUUAAUUAUAGAAAUGUACAUGUGUGUGUGUUAUAUUUGCAUUUGUAUUUAUUUUUGUUGGUGUAACUCAUCUUUUUUUUUAUUAUAUACUAAGUUCUGGGG
ensembl:lncRNA